UACGGGGGGGGCAAGCGUUGUUCGGAAUUACUGGGCGUAAAGGGCUCGUAGGCGGCCAACUAAGUCCGACGUGAAAUCCCAAGGCUUAACCUUGGAACUGCGUCGGAUACUGGAUGGCUUGAAUUCGGGAGAGGGAUGCAGAAUUCCAGGUGUAGCGGUGAAAUGCGUAGGUAUCUGGAGGAACACCGGUGGCGAAGGCGGGAUCCUGGACCGACACUGACGCUGAGGAGCGAAAGCUAGGGGAGCAAACGGG
rnacentral:rRNA from 1 species